AAGUCGUAACAAGGUUUCCGUAGGUGAACCUGUGGAAGGAUCAUUAAUGAAUACACUGGACGCUCUUUUUAGAGGUCCGACCCUUCAUUACCUUCACACUGUGCACACACUUCAUUUUUACACCCAUUUUUAAACACUAUAGUAUAAGAAUGUACCAGUCUCUUAAUUGAGCAUAAAUAUAUAAUAAAACUUUCAGCAACGGAUCUCUUGGCUCUC
rnacentral:misc_RNA from 1 species